CCACCCUUUGCUUAUUUGAGAUCUAACUUCCGCGAGGAAGGACAUUGCUUGGUGGGUAGUUUGACUGGGGUGGUCGCCUCCAAAAGAGUAACGGAGGCUUCUAAAGGUUCCCUCAGCACGCUUGGUAACCGUGCGUAGAGUGCAAUGGUAUAAGGGAGCUUGACUGAGAGACAAACAAGUCGAUCAGGUACGAAAGUAGAGCAUAGUGAUCCGGUGGUUCCGCAUGGAAGGGCCAUCGCUCAA
rnacentral:rRNA from 1 species